rnacentral:siRNA from 1 species
AGGUAUCUACAAAAUCAUAAACAC